UUCGGGGACUAGGACACAGGUGCUGCAUGGCUGUCGUCAGCUCGUGUUGUGAAAUGUUGGGUUAAGUCCCGCAACGAGCGCAACCCUUAUCCUUUGUUGCCAGCGGUUCGGCCGGGAACUCAAGGGAGACUGCCAGUGAUAAACUGGAGGAAGGUGGGGAUGACGUCAAGUCAUCAUGGCCCUUACGAGUAGGGCUACACACGUGCUACAAUGGCAUAUACAAAGAGAAGCGACCUCGCGAGAGCAAGCGGACCUCAUAAAGUAUGUCGUAGUCCGGAUUGGAGUCUGCAACUCGACUCCAUGAAGUCGGAAUCGCUAGUAAUCGUAGAUCAGAAUGCUACGGUGAAUACGUUCCCGGGCCUUGUACACACCGCCCGUCACACCAUGGGAGUGGGUUGCAAAAGAAGUAGGUAGCUUAACCUUCGGGAGGGCGCUUACCACUUUGUGAUUCAUGACUGGGGUGAAGUCGUAACAAGGUAACCGUAGGGGAACCUGCGGCUGGAUCACCUCCUUA
rnacentral:rRNA from 1 species